CACACUUAUGUCCACCUUAUUUAGUUCAACAGUUCAUUUCAAGAUGUCAGAUGCAUCAGAUUCUUUGCUUGAGAGGAAGUUUCGCAAAAAUGUUAGCGGAAAAAUUUUGAAUAGUGAAGCGCGACAAAUAAUCGUUAAUGUUUAUGAAAAAGUACGAGAAAAUAAUCCAACUAUUAGUUUAAAGGAUAUUGAACUCACUUCGCACUUCACUUCACAAUAUUGAACACCCCUUCACAUGCUUGUGCACGUGUAGAUGGACUUUCCCACUCACAUAUUUUUCUCCAAUCAGCACUCAUUUAGAGAGCA
rnacentral:lncRNA from 1 species